rnacentral:rRNA from 1 species
UACGGAGGGAGCUAGCGUUGUUCGGAAUUACUGGGCGUAAAGAGUACGUAGGCGGACUCUUAAGUCAGAGGUGAGAGCCUGAGGCUCAACCUCAGAAUUGCCUUUGAUACUGGGAGUCUUGAGUGUGGUAGAGGUAGGUGGAACAGCAAGUGUAGAGGUGAAAUUCGUAGAUAUUUGCUAGAACACCAGUGGCGAAGGCGGCCUACUGGACCAUAACUGACGCUGAGGUGCGAAAGCGUGGGGAGCAAACAGG